GUCAGUGUGGUGCAGUGGUUUGAGUGCUGGACUAGGAUUCUAAGAGGCCAUGGUUCAAAUCCUUGCUCAGGCA